CCGCAGCCCAAGUGGUGAUCGCUUUUAUUGAGCCUAAAGCGUCCGUAGCCUGUCUAUUAAAUUCCUGAGUAAAUCGGAGAGCUUAACUUUCCGAAUUUCGGGAAGACUGAUAGACUUGGAACCGGAAGAGGUCAGAGGUACUCUCAGGGUAGGGGUGAAAUCCUGUAAUCCUGAGAGGACCACCAGUGGCGAAGGCGUCUGACUAGGACGGAUUCGACGGUGAGGGACGAAGCCCUGGGGCGCAAACCGGAUUAGAGACCCGUGUAGUCC
rnacentral:rRNA from 1 species